GAUGAAGAACGUAGCGAAAUGCGAUAAGUAAUGCGAAUUGCAGAAUUCAGUGAGUCAUCGAAUCUUUGAACGCACAUUGCGCCCUGUGGUAUUCCGCAGGGCAUGCCUGUUCGAGCGUCAUUUCAACCCUCAAGCCUCGCUUGGUGUUGGGCCCUGCCCGCCGCGGCCGGCCCUAAAGAUAGUGGCGGUGCCGCCUGGCCCUCAGCGUAGUACAGCUCUCGCUCCAGGGUCCGGCGGCAGCCUGCCAGAACCCCCCAACUCUGUGGUUGACCUCGGAUCAGGUAGGGAUACCCGCUGAACUUAAGCAUAUCAAUAAGCGGAGGA
rnacentral:misc_RNA from 1 species